UCUUAGUGGCGAACGGGUGAGUAACGCGUAAUCAACCUGCCCUUCAGAGGGGGACAACAGUUGGAAACGACUGCUAAUACCGCAUACGAUCUAAUCUCGGCAUCGAGGAUGGAUGAAAGGUGGCCUCUAUUUAUAAGCUAUCACUGAAGGAGGGGAUUGCGUCUGAUUAGCUAGUUGGAGGGGUAACGGCCCACCAAGGCGAUGAUCAGUAGCCGGUCUGAGAGGAUGAACGGCCACAUUGGGACUGAGACACGGCCCAGACUCC
rnacentral:rRNA from 1 species